rnacentral:tRNA from 1 species
GUGCCUGUAGCUCAGCUGGAUAGAGUGACUGGCUACGAACCAGUAUGUCGGGGGUUCGAGUCCCUCCAGGCACG